rnacentral:rRNA from 1 species
GAUGAACGCUAGCGGCAGGCCUAACACAUGCAAGUCGAGGGGCAGCACAGAAACAGCAAUGUUUUGGUGGCGACCGGCGGACGGGUGCGUAACGCGUAUGCAACCUACCUUUAACAGGGGGAUAACGGAGAGAAAUUUCCACUAAUACCCCAUAACAUCGAUCAAGGCAUCUUGAUUGGUUAAAAACUCCGGUGGUUAAAGAUGGGCAUGCGUUGUAUUAGGUAGUUGGUGAGGUAAUGGCUCACCAAGCCUACGAUACAUAAGGGGACUGAGAGGUUAGCCCCCCACACUGGUACUGGGACACGGACCAGACUCCUACGGGAGGCAGCAGUGAGGAAUAUUGGUCAAUGGGGGCAACCCUGAACCAGCCAUGCCGCGUGCAGGAAGACGGCUCUAUGAGUUGUAAACUGCUUUUAAACAGGGAUAAAGCACAGUAUGUAUACUGUGUUGAAGGUACUGUAAGAAUAAGGAUCGGCUAACUCCGUGCCAGCCGCCGCAGUAA